CAGCCGCCGCGGUAAUACGGAGGGGGCUAGCGUUGUUCGGAAUUACUGGGCGUAAAGCGUGCGUAGGCGGUUUGUUAAGUCUGUUGUGAAAUCCCCGGGCUCAACCUGGGAAUGGCAAUGGAUACUGGCAAGCUAGAGUGUGUCAGAGGAUAGUGGAAUUCCCGGUGUAGCGGUGAAAUGCGUAGAGAUCGGGAGGAACAUCAGUGGCGAAGGCGGCCAUCUGGGACAACACUGACGCUGAGGCACGAAAGCGUGGGGAGCAAACAGGAUUAGAUACCCGGGUAGUCCCUGUCUCUUAUAC
rnacentral:rRNA from 1 species